UACGUAGGGUGCGAGCGUUGUCCGGAAUUAUUGGGCGUAAAGGGCUCGUAGGCGGUUUGUCGCGUCGGGAGUGAAAUCCACUGGCUUAACUGGUGGCUUGCUUUCGAUACGGGCAGACUGGAGGUAUGCAGGGGAGAACGGAAUUCCUGGUGUAGCGGUGAAAUGCGCAGAUAUCAGGAGGAACACCGGUGGCGAAGGCGGAUCUCUGGGCAAUAACUGACGCUGAGGAGCGAAAGCGUGGGGAGCGAACAGG
rnacentral:rRNA from 1 species